CACAAGCGGUGGAGCAUGUGGUUUAAUCGAUGAUACGCGAGGAACCUUACCUGGCUCAAAUGUAUGUUGACGUAUUCUGAAAGGGAUACUUCUUCGGACAAUAUACAAGGUGCUGCAUGGUUGUCGUCAGCUCGUGCCGUGAGGUGUCGGGUUAAGUCCCAUACGAGCGCAACCCCUAUCAUUAGUUGCCAUCAGGUCAAGCUGGGGACUCUAAUGAAACUGCCUACGCAAGUAGUGAGGAAGGUGGGGAUGACGUCAAAUCAGCACGGCCCUUACGUCCAGGGCUACACACGUGCUACAAUGGCCGGUACAAAGGGCAGCUACCUGGUGACAGGAUGCUAAUCUCAAAAGCCGGUCUCAGUUCGGAUCGGAGUCUGCAACCCGACUCCGUGAAGCUGGAAUCGCUAGUAAUCGCGCAUCAGCCAUGGCGCGGUGAAUACGUUCCCGGGCCUU
rnacentral:rRNA from 1 species